GAUGAAGAGGGUUGCUGGAAUUUUUAGGCUGCAGUCUGUAGGGCUGAAAAAAGAGAAAGAUUUGGAGGACUUUUUAGAGGCUUUUGGAUAUAAAAUUUUUAUGGCUUGUAGGCAACUGAUGGAGGCUUAGGAUGAAAAAAAUUGAGAAAAAAAGGUUAUACCUAUGGCCAGCUAAAAAUCUAGAAAAAUAAGAUUGGCAUGAAGAAGGGCUGUGGCAUGGAAUCCAAGGC
rnacentral:lncRNA from 1 species